rnacentral:piRNA from 1 species
UUGAAUUGGUGACCUUUACCCC